rnacentral:lncRNA from 1 species
GGGUUUGAUAGGAAUUGACAUUUUCCUUCAAAGCUGUGAUUUGCUGAGGACUUGUGGUACCUUUACAUUAAAAUAGUAUCUGAGAGUUAAAAAAAGUGAGGGUGGGGGGGAAGUUGCUGAGCCGAUAUUCAACCUCCCUUAAUAAAUGCAUCUGAGCUUACAUUUUUCCCUUCUGAUGUGUCAGCUGGGGAUUCUCUUCCAUUUUCUACACACAUGGGCACUGCUUAAAUCAUUCUGAUUUCUCUCCCAGGCAGACUUCUGCCGAAGAAACUUUUCACACCUUAAGAUAAUAAAGCCCCCAGUUAGAAGGGUGGAAGUGGCAACCGGCUUGAAAUUUCAGGAGAGAAGAGUAGGUCAUUGCAGAGAAAUAAAGAGCUUGCCAGCUCCAGGAAGCGCAAUGAGUACAUUGGAAGUAUGAUUUUUGAAUUCAUUUUGUCUUUCCUUGGCCUUGGAGGUGUUAACAGCACCGUUGGCCUAGCUUUUUCUUUUCCCUGGUUCAGGGCAGCUAUAAUAAGGAGCAAGGUUGGCAAAAGGAGUGGGAGAGAAAGGAAAGAAGUACUUUUGUGUCCAAAUCACUUUGAUUCUAUUGCUUGUUGGAUCUGAAAUUUAUUCAGGGUGACUGUAAAAGUUGAAGGAGCAAACCAUUAAUGGACCAUUGAAAUAUGUAAGCAAUACGUGGAAGUCUUGUUUCCCCAGGCCAGACUCAGAUGAGGUCAAGGCUUUUGUCCUUUGAUGGCAUUUGUCUCUAGGAACCCAUUCCCUUUUCUAGCUCGGAUUCCAGGCAUUGGAAUCCUGGGGUCACUGAUGCUUCACAUGCUUUUACUUCAAGUUCUGGUGUAGGCUUCCACUGCUUUGAUCUGAAUUUUGUUCCUACUGGUGUUGUCCCUGUGUC